UACGUAGGGGGCAAGCGUUGUCCGGAAUCAUUGGGCGUAAAGCGCGCGUAGGCGGCCCGGUAAGUCCGUUGUGAAAGUCAAAGGCUCAACCUUUGAACGCCGAUGGAUACUGCCGGGCUAGAGUCCGGAAGAGGCGAGUGGAAUUCCUGGUGUAGCGGUGGAAUGCGCAGAUAUCAGGAGGAACACCAAUAGCGAAGGCAACUCUCUACGACAGUACUGACUCUAACACACUAAAACAUAACUAACUAACAGC
rnacentral:rRNA from 1 species